UACAGAGGUCUCAAGCGUUGUUCGGAUUCAUUGGGCGUAAAGGGUGCGUAGGUGGCGCGCUAAGUCAGGUGUGAAAUUUCGGAGCUUAACUCCGAAACUGCAUUUGGUACUGGCGUGCUUGAGGACUGGAGAGGAGACUGGAAUUCAUGGUGUAGCAGUGAAAUGCGUAGAUAUCAUGAGGAAUACCAGAGGCGAAGGCGGCUACCUGGACAAUUGCUGACGCUCAGGCACGAAAGCGUGGGGAGCAAAAGGG
rnacentral:rRNA from 1 species